rnacentral:rRNA from 1 species
UACAGAGGUCUCAACCGUUGUUCGGAUUCAUUGGGCGUAAAGGGUGCGUAGGCGGUCGCGUAAGUCAGGUGUGAAAUCUCAGGGCUCAACCCUGAAACUGCACUUGAUACUGCGUGGCUCGGGUACUGGAGAGGAGACUGGAAUUUACGGUGUAGCAGUGAAAUGCGUAGAUAUCGUAAGGAAGACCAGUGGCGAAAGGCGG